AGCCCCCUAUCCUCUCUAUCCACCAUUCGACCCUACCCACCACGAUGGGUAGGAAUUUUAAAUCCUUAUCUUACCCAUAUGAGUGGUGGAUAGUACCAUACCCUAUCCAUAAUCCACUAAAGUAAAUACAUAAUGCAAGCACCACAGAUCAAACAUAUUUCAAAUUUAUUAAGUUUCACACCUAUUUUAAAUCACUUAAGUUCUAAAAUCUAUUUCAACCAUCAAUCUAUAUAAUACAAACAGAUACAUACUAUAGCAAGUCAUUCUCUAAUUCUCCAAUAACAAAUAAGAGAACAAAUAAAAAGAAUCAAAUAAAAUAAGUCCCUAAC
rnacentral:lncRNA from 1 species